GCAGAAUGUUAAAGGAACUGUCUUUUGUGUGUCUGCAGACAAUCUUGCAGCACACGGAUUGGGAGGCUUCACAGAAUCAUUUAGAUCUGAGUAUGCCUGUAGGUUUUGUUUAGCCACUAGAGAUCAGAUGAAAUCUAUGAGUGUAAUUCAGGGAGAUUUCCCCAUGAGAACAGAGACCAGUCAUGACAUUCAUGUCCGUGAUGUUUUGCAGAGUGAUACCCAAAGCAGUCAGUUUGGUGUAAAACAAGACUGUGUGCUGCGUGAAGCAUUGAAACAUUUCCACCCUGUCACCGGAUUUGCUCCAGACAUCCUUCAUGACCUUUUGGAAGAUUUUGGAUCUGAAUGACACGAUCACACUUGCUGCUUACUUCAUUGAUGGUCGGUUAAUGCUCUCUCCCAGGAGAUACAUCUUGCAAAGUCCAUAGAAAAAUGGCAGCUUCUUCCUGUUUGAUGCUUCGUGUCAUUGUUGAUUCCAGGACUACUCGGAAAAUCACACUCGCCUCCUAUCCUGAAUCCAGUGGUGGCUGCUGGUCUUUCAAAGAGGGGAAGCUCAUUUUCGGCCUACAUCAUAAAAAUUGUCCAUUUAUUUAUACUUAAAUUCUGCCCUAGGUUCCUUUUCAAGAAAAUGCUCUGUGACCCUUUCAUACCAUAUAGGAGUCUUUUCCAGUGACACUAGCCUACUGUAUGAAUGAAUGAAUGAACAAACAAACAAUCUAAAAAAAAAGAUAUUAAUCUCAUAACAUUAUUCAUGCAAUUAUAAAUAUAGUCUAAAUGAAUAAAUGCCACAUCUAAAUGUCACUUCAUGCAGCUUCUGUGCAGUGCUAAGAUGAGUUUUUUUUAGAUUAUUUCAUGGAUAACAAUAGCCAGUCAUUAAGUAUUCAGAGAAUAAUAUUGUCUGUUUUCACUUACAUCUAUUUAUUUAUUAAAUUUUGAUUCAUUUUGUAGAAUUGAAUUAUAAAUUAAGCUGGUAUAGUAUCGUAAUACAUUUUUAUGGUAUCGUGACAACCCUAUUGUACACCACAUUCUUCGUUUCAGUUUAGCCUAAUUCCUAAUUAACCUAAUUAAACAUUUCCUCUGUCGAGUUUAAUGUUUUAAAUACUAAAUUCUGAAUAUAGAAAUAUGUUGGAAAAUAAUGUAGCAUGCCUACUUUUAGACGUGAAACUUAAAAAUGGCCAGCAGGCGGCAGAAGUUCGUGACUGAAUCACUGAGUCAUUCAAAUGAUUCUUUCAAAACGGCUGAAUCCUUCAGGAGCGAAUCAAAUUACUGUUUUUAUGAGUGGCUCAGUGAAUCAGUGAUUCGCCCAAACUAACGCGGAUUUGGAUUCGAACACAAACGAAACAAAAACAGCACUCUUGCUAGUGUUGUAUUGCCUAAGUGUCAGGAGCAUUUUUUGCUCGCAUAUCUUGAAAUUUCCGAGUUAGCAGCAUGUAUAUUAAAACAUAACAUUAUAAAUGAAUAAAAAAUAUAUAUAAUGAUUGAUAAGAAACGUCAGCGACUUUUUAUAGGACAAAAUCGCUGUCAAUCAAAAGGAGAUGCAGACCCUCCAAUCAUCACGCAGAAGCCCGGAGUCCAGGCACGCCCACUCCUCCAUUCACCCCCAGAGACGCUGAGCGUCCGGGGGCGGGACAUAAUCGCAGCAUUUAUCCAAUGACCGUCUAGUUUCGAGGCACUGAAAAAAACUGUUCAAAGCAGCCCCAUUGAAGUCAAUGGACGCUUGGCUUCAAUGGAGAAAUACACUGAAGCUACGGGAAUGUAUGAGAAGGAAAUCGAGUCAGUCGACCUGCUAUAUGUAGCUGAUUCUGAACGAACUCGUCUUCGAGAUGAACGUGUUCUAACGCAUUUUUAGUCAAUAAAAUGUUAACACAAUAGUACAUAUUUGACCAUUAAUUUUUUGACAUUAUAGGGGAAGCCGAGUUGCCACCAAAAGCUACUGUUAAGCUUUUUUUUGAUGGAGAAACUAGUUCUACAUCAACAACAGACACUGAAUUAUUAACUGAUGUUUCCACCCCUGAACAUGUUUCAGGGUGGCCUCAAGGCAGUUUUCCAGUGCCAGCAUUUUCUUAUGAGGUAGAACACAUACUUAGAGAAAGAAAUUCUGCCUUUGAAAAAACAGGAAAAGUGCUGCAGCUAAACAGAGACCAGAAGCAUGAUGUCCUUGACAAAGUAGCAGCUGCAAUCUAUAAUUUUAAAGCCUACCCAAGUGACAAAGAGCUGUCAAAAGCAGCAGAAGCUCUGAUCACCAAACACCCAUGUCUGAAAGAGCUGGGUUCAGAUAACGGAUGGUUUGGAUGGAAAACUAGCAUCAAAUUUAAAAUGGGAAACUACCGAAACAAGCUGAGGAGAGCAGGAUGUAUGGAGGUUGCAGUGAAUGCUGGAAAACGAAGCAAAAGCAGUCCAGACAAUGAACCAUCACACUCGAACAUAAAAAGGGCAAGACGUGCCGAAGUAAACUAUUUACCAGACUUCCCCCAAGGUCAUGAUGCUUCAACUCUAGAGCAGCAGAGGGUUGAAAUUACAGAAGAAGUUCAGAAAACUGAAACAAAUCUUGUUACUGUUGAUAAGAAGAUGCAGAUGACAUUUGCAUUACGCAGGAAAGAGAUCAUUACCAGUCCAUCACCAGUGAAAGAGAUCCUUGGACGCUGGCCAGCUCUACGUUUGGAAUCACAGGUAUGUGCUGAAUUUCAGUGCAUUACCAACCAGAAUUUGACAAACACAUUUUACGCAGAGCUAGACUGCCACAGUUUUCGCCUGAUGACUUUAUAAUCGACAGAGAGCAGCAAAGACUGGAAAAACUGCUGAUGCACUUGCUGAAUUUCUUCGGGUUCAUGACUUAAAGGAUCAACAUGAUGUACACACAAGCCGAACAACAGUGCUCUGUGCGCUUCCUGUGUAUCUGAGAGAAGACGCCUCAAAAUUCUUUAAAACAUGCACGAUUGAAGAUGAUUCAGAAGAGCCAGAUGUUGAUUCAUCAGUUGCCCUUUUGACAGUCGUCCGAGAACUCCCAGACAUUGCUCUUCAGCACAAUCCAGAGAAGAUUUCGAUCAUCCUUGAGAAUGAAGCUGUCAUAACAGGCCUGCAGAGACUCUCUGAUGCGUUCCUUUUGAUGUUUGGCUUAAUCUAUGCAUUGGAUCUUUCAUAUCCAAAAGAGAUGGCCAACACAUUUGAGUUUAUUCAGAAGGUUCCUUUGGGUCUUGAUGAUGGCAAACUUAAGCCAAGGGUGCUGGCUCUAAAGAGUGACUUGCUGAUUCAUGCACAGUAAUUUUAUACUGUUUGCCUGUGUUGUGUUGUUUUCUUUGAUAUCAGGCAUAUGUGCAAGAUUUCAACAUGAGUUCUUAUUACUAAAAUGGUGAUUUGCCUAAAAUUUAAACAAAAACAAAAAUAGCAAUUUCUUCUGUCACAAAGUUCAAUAAAAUUUGUAGACAGCAGAUCAAGAAAUCUUAAUCCUGUUUUGUAUUCAUUAAGGUAAUAUUUUAAUUGAUUUUCUUUG